GAUGAACGCUAGCGGCAGGCCUAAUACAUGCAAGUCGAACGGAUAUAUGUUUUUCGGAAUAUAUAUUAGUGGCGCACGGGUGAGUAACACGUACAUAACUUGCCCUCAAGCGGGGGAUAGCCUUGGGAAACUGAGAGUAAUACCCCAUAGAAUUAUUGGACGGCAUCGUUUGAUAAUUAAAACUACGGUGUUUGGGGAUAGAUGUGCGUCUGAUUAGCUAGUUGGUGAGGUAACUGCUCACCAAGGCGACGAUCAGUAGGGGGCGUGAGAGCGUGGUCCCCCACACUGGUACUGAGACACGGACCAGACUCCUACGGGAGGCAGCAGUGAGGAAUAUUGGUCAAUGGGCGAGAGCCUGAACCAGCCAAGUCGCGUGAAGGAGAAGGAUCUAUGGUUCGUAAACUUCUUUUGCAGGGGAAUAAAGUGCAGGACGUGUCCUGUUUGUAUGUACCCUGAGAAUAAGGAUCGGCUAACUCCGUAGCCAGCAGCCGCGGUAAAGUA
rnacentral:rRNA from 1 species